UACGGAGGGUGCAAGCGUUAUCCGGAUUCACUGGGUUUAAAGGGUGCGUAGGAGGGUAGGUAAGUCAGUGGUGAAAUCUUCGAGCUUAACUCGGGAACUGCCGUUGAUACUAUCUAUCUUGAAUACCGUGGAGGUGAGCGGAAUAUGUCAUGUAGCGGUGAAAUGCUUAGAUAUGACAUAGAACACCAAUUGCGAAGGCAGCUCGCUACACGAAUAUUGACUCUGAGGCACGAAAGCGUGGGGAUCAAACAGG
rnacentral:rRNA from 1 species